rfam:Ictidomys tridecemlineatus contig031517, whole genome shotgun sequence.
GGGGUUGUGGCUCAGCGGUAGAGCACUUGCCUAGCACGUGCAAGACGCUGGGUUCCAUCCUCAGCACCA